GAUUGGUGCUUGCAUCAUGAUUUACAUUUGAGUGAGUGGCGAACUGGUGAGUAACACGUGGGAAACCUGCCCAGAAGCGGGGGAUAACACCUGGAAACAGAUGCUAAUACCGCAUAACAACUUGGACCGCAUGGUCCGAGUUUGAAAGAUGGCUUCGGCUAUCACUUUUGGAUGGUCCCGCGGCGUAUUAGCUAGAUGGUGGGGUAACGGCUCACCAUGGCAAUGAUACGUAGCCGACCUGAGAGGGUAAUCGGCCACAUUGGGACUGAGACACGGCCCAAACUCCUACGGGAGGCAGCAGUAGGGAAUCUUCCACAAUGGACGAAAGUCUGAUGGAGCAACGCCGCGUGAGUGAAGAAGGGUUUCGGCUCGUAAAACUCUGUUGUUAAAGAAGAACAUAUCUGAGAGUAACUGUUCAGGUAUUGACGGUAUUUAACCAGAAAGCCACGGCUAACUACGUGCCAGCAGCCGCGGUAAUACGUAGGUGGCAAGCGUUGUCCGGAUUUAUUGGGCGUAAAGCGAGCGCAGGCGGUUUUUUAAGUCUGAUGUGAAAGCCUUCGGCUCAACCGAAGAAGUGCAUCGGAAACUGGGAAACUUGAGUGCAGAAGAGGACAGUGGAACUCCAUGUGUAGCGGUGAAAUGCGUAGAUAUAUGGAAGAACACCAGUGGCGAAGGCGGCUGUCUGGUCUGUAACUGACGCUGAGGCUCGAAAGUAUGGGUAGCAAACAGGAUUAGAUACCCUGGUAGUCCAUACCGUAAACGAUGAAUGCUAAGUGUUGGAGGGUUUCCGCCCUUCAGUGCUGCAGCUAACGCAUUAAGCAUUCCGCCUGGGGAGUACGGCCGCAAGGCUGAAACUCAAAGGAAUUGACGGGGGCCCGCACAAGCGGUGGAGCAUGUGGUUUAAUUCGAAGCUACGCGAAGAACCUUACCAGGUCUUGACAUACUAUGCAAAUCUAAGAGAUUAGACGUUCCCUUCGGGGACAUGGAUACAGGUGGUGCAUGGUUGUCGUCAGCUCGUGUCGUGAGAUGUUGGGUUAAGUCCCGCAACGAGCGCAACCCUUAUUAUCAGUUGCCAGCAUUAAGUUGGGCACUCUGGUGAGACUGCCGGUGACAAACCGGAGGAAGGUGGGGAUGACGUCAAAUCAUCAUGCCCCUUAUGACCUGGGCUACACACGUGCUACAAUGGAUGGUACAACGAGUUGCGAACUCGCGAGAGUAAGCUAAUCUCUUAAAGCCAUUCUCAGUUCGGAUUGUAGGCUGCAACUCGCCUACAUGAAGUCGGAAUCGCUAGUAAUCGCGGAUCAGCAUGCCGCGGUGAAUACGUUCCCGGGCCUUGUACACACCGCCCGUCACACCAUGAGAGUUUGUAAC
rnacentral:rRNA from 2 species